UGGGGAAUAUUGCACAAUGGGGGAAACCCUGAUGCAGCGACGCCGCGUGAACGAAGAAGGUAUUCGUAUCGUAAAGUUCUGUCCUAUGGGUAGAUAAUGACAGUACCAUAGAAGAAAGCUCCGGCUAAAUACGUGCCAGCAGCCGCGGUAAUACGUAUGGAGCGAGCGUUGUCCGGAAUUAUUGGGCGUAAAGGGUACGCAGGCGGUUUAAUAAGUCGAAUGUUAAAGAUCGGGGCUCAACCCCGUAAAGCAUUGGAAACUGAUAAACUUGAGUAGUGGAGAGGAAAGUGGAAUUCCUAGUGUAGUGGUGAAAUACGUAGAUAUUAGGAGGAAAACCAGUAGCGAAGGCGACUUUCUGGACACAAACUGACGCUGAGGUACGAAAGCGUGGGGAGCAAACAGG
rnacentral:rRNA from 1 species